UGAGGAAUAUUGGUCAAUGGGCGAGAGCCUGAACCAGCCAAGUAGCGUGCAGGAUGACGGCCCUAUGGGUUGUAAACUGCUUUUAUAUGGGAAUAAAGUGAGGGACGUGUCCCUUAUUGCAUGUACCAUAUGAAUAAGGACCGGCUAAUUCCGUGCCAGCAGCCGCGGUAAUACGGAAGGUCCAGGCGUUAUCCGGAUUUAUUGGGUUUAAAGGGAGCGUAGGCUGUUUGUUAAGCGUGUUGUGAAAUGUAAGAGCUCAACUUUUAGAUUGCAGCGCGAACUGGCAGACUUGAGUGCGCACAACGUAGGCGGAAUUCAUGGUGUAGCGGAGGAAUGCUUAGAUAUCAUGACGAACUCCGAUUGCGAAGGCAGCUUACGGGGGCGCAACUGACGCUAAAGCUCGAAGGUGCGGGUAUCGAACAGG
rnacentral:rRNA from 1 species